UCUUCACAUGCCACUGGAUUGGGAAUAGAGGAAAUUCCUGGUUAUGCUCUUUCUCAGAGCAAGAACCUAAGUCUGCAACGUUCAGGCCAUCCACGAUUAGAAAUGGAACAACUAUUGGAACUUCAAUUUCCACAGCAGCGACACCUUGAGCUUCAACAACAGCGGCACCUUGAGCUUCAACAACAGCGGCACCUUGAGCUUCAGCAACAACGGCACCUCGAAGAACUCCAACAACAAAGGCAACUUGAAGAACUCAAACAGCAGAGGCGACUUGAAGAACUCCAACAACGGAGGCAACUUGAAGAACUCCAACAACGGAGGCAUCUUGAAGAACUUCAACA
rnacentral:lncRNA from 1 species